AUGAUGAAGGAAGCAUCAUCAGAGAUCCGGUCUUCGUACAAUUGCAAUAGAGAUGGAAGCUUAGAUGGAAAGUUGCGAUGGAGACCUAUAUGUGGUUGUGGAGAAUCUGCGGUUCUUCGAAGGGCUACCACUGUCACAAACUUUGGGAAGCAAUUCUGGGAUUGUCGUCAUUACAAGGAAAAAAAGAAGAAUUUGAUUGUCUCCGAAACACCGACGUCGAAGCAGCUUCUCUCUGGAGAGACAAACCAAGCCACACAUUCAACCGCUACGAUGCAAAUCUGGCCAUCACCAUUAAUAACAACCUGA